AGUGAACGCUGGCGGUAGGCCUAACACAUGCAAGUCGAACGGCAGCACAGUAAGAGCUUGCUCUUACGGGUGGCGAGUGGCGGACGGGUGAGGAAUACAUCGGAAUCUACUUUUUCGUGGGGGAUAACGUAGGGAAACUUACGCUAAUACCGCAUACGACCUACGGGUGAAAGCAGGGGAUCUUCGGACCUUGCGCGAUUGAAUGAGCCGAUGUCGGAUUAGCUAGUUGGCGGGGUAAAGGCCCACCAAGGCGACGAUCCGUAGCUGGUCUGAGAGGAUGAUCAGCCACACUGGAACUGAGACACGGUCCAGACUCCUACGGGAGGCAGCAGUGGGGAAUAUUGGACAAUGGGCGCAGGCCUGACCCAGCCAUACCGCGUGGGUGAAGAAGGCCUUCGGGUUGUAAAGCCCUUUUGUUGGGAAAGAAAAGCAGCAGGUUAAUACCCCGCUGUUCUGACGGUACCCAAAGAGUAAGCACCGGCUAACUUCGUG
rnacentral:rRNA from 1 species